UUAAUUACGAAAGCUUCGGUCCCUCCGGGGGCUGUCGCAUCCACCCUUUGUCUACGUGUACCUCUGUUGUUUCCUCGGUGGGUUCGCCCGCCGCCAGGAAUCCCUUAAACCCUUGUAUUUACAGUAUUCAAUCUCUGAUAACCUUUUAAAUUAUUACAACUUUUAACAAUGGAUCUCUUGGUUCUGGCAUCGAUGAAGAACGCAGCGAAAUGCGAAAAGUAGUGUGAAUUGCAGAAUUCCGUGAAUCAUCGAAUCUUUGAACGCACAUUGCGCCCCUCGGUAUUCCGUGGGGCAUGCCUGUUCGAGCGUCAUUUACACCCUCAAGCUCUGCUUGGUGUUGGGCGUCUGUCCCGCCUUGUGCGUGGACUCGCCCCAAAGUCAUUGGCAGCGGUCAUGCCAGCUUCUCGCGCAGCACAUUUGCGUCUGAUGAGGUUGGAGGAUCGGCGUCCAUUAAGCUCUUUUAUGACUUGACCUCGGAUCAGGUAGGGAUACCCGCUGAACUUAAGCAUAUCAAUAAGCGGAGGAAAAGAAACCAACUGGGAUUGCCCUAGUAACGGCGAGUGAAGCGGCAAUAGCUCAAAUUUGAAAUCUGGCUCCUUUUAGGGGUCCGAGUUGUAAUUUGCAGAGGGUGCUUUGGCGUCGGUAGCGGUCUAAGUUCCUUGGAACAGGACAUCGCAGAGGGUGAGAAUCCCGUUUGUGGUCGCAUGCCUUCGCCGUGUAAAGCCCCUUCGACGAGUCGAGUUGUUUGGGAAUGCAGCUCUAAAUGGGAGGUAAAUUUCUUCUAAAGCUAAAUAC
rnacentral:rRNA from 1 species